rnacentral:rRNA from 1 species
GUAGGUGGCAAGCGUUGUCCGGAAUUAUUGGGCGUAAAGCGCGCGCAGGCGGUUCUUUAAGUCUGAUGUGAAAGCCCACGGCUCAACCGUGGAGGGUCAUUGGAAACUGGAGAACUUGAGUACAGAAGAGGAAAGCGGAAUUCCACGUGUAGCGGUGAAAUGCGUAGAGAUGUGGAGGAACACCAGUGGCGAAGGCGGCUUUCUGGUCUGUAACUGACGCUGAGGCGCGAAAGCGUGGGGAGCAAACAGGAUUAGAUACCCUGGUAGUCCACGCCGUAAACGAUGAGUGCUAAGUGUUAGGGGGUUUCCGCCCCCUUAGUGCUGCAGCUAACGCAUUAAGCACUCCGCCUGGGAGUAUGGCCGCAAGGCUG